ACGCACGCUGGCGGCGUGCUUAACCCCUGCACGUCGCACGGAAAGGCCCUGCUUGCAGGGUACUCGAGUGGCGAACGGGUGAGUAACACGUGGGUGAUCUGCCCUGCACUUCGGGAUAAGCCUGGGAAACUGGGUCUAAUACCGGAUAGGAGCCAUUUUUAGUGUGAUGGUUGGAAAGUUUUUUCGGUGUAGGAUGAGCUCGCGGCCUAUCAGCUUGUUGGUGGGGUAAUGGCCUACCAAGGCGGCGACGGGUAGCCGGCCUGAGAGGGUGGACGGCCACAUUGGGACUGAGAUACGGCCCAGACUCCUACGGGAGGCAGCAGUGGGGAAUAUUGCACAAUGGGCGCAAGCCUGAUGCAGCGACGCCGCGUGGGGGAUGACGGCCUUCGGGUUGUAAACUCCUUUCGCUAGGGACGAAGCUUUUUGUGACGGUACCUAGAUAAGAAGCACCAGCUAACUACGUG
rnacentral:rRNA from 1 species